UUGAUAUUCACACUCCUGGGUCCAAAAUUCUCAACAAUCAGAGAUACUGUCAGAAUCAGUUAUUUUGUCAACAUCAUACAAAUUUUUAUGGACCUUGUAGGCUGAUAGGUUAUCUCAUAUUUUCUGCAUAUGUUCCUGUUGUCUGAGCUUCUGAUAUGCUGGUCUAGUUAGUUUCUUAGAUCUGUUGCAAAACUGCUGGGUGAAUAUUACCAAUAUAAUUGUGCAAGAAAAACUAUAUUUUGAUUUCCUAUCAAAAUUUGCGAGCAAUCUAAACGAUUCAUUCGAUUAGUUUUUUACAACCAUCUAAGAAAAUAGGCAUUGGCUCUGCUUGCUUUUCUGAGUUUGAGACUGAGUUCACAUUAAUCUAAAGUGAAGAUCAAUAAGUGGGAAUUUCAUGAGUUGUUUUCAGUUUUUCCCCCUAGUUUUGAACAUUUGAAAUCUUUGCAGAUGUCAACAUAAUAGCCCCUAAAUACAGGAUGCUAUGUGUUCUAUUG
rnacentral:misc_RNA from 1 species